rnacentral:rRNA from 1 species
GGGGGGGGCAAGCGUUGUUCGGAAUUACUGGGCGUAAAGGGCUCGUAGGUGGCCGAUUCAGUCAGACGUGAAAUCCCUCGGCUCAACCGGGGAACUGCGUCUGAUACUAGUUGGCUUGAAUCCGGGAGAGGGACGCGGAAUUCCAGGUGUAGCGGUGAAAUGCGUAGAUAUCUGGAGGAACACCGGUGGCGAAGGCGGCGUCCUGGACCGGUAUUGACACUGAGGAGCGAAAGCCAGGGGAGCAAACGGGAUUAGAUACCCCGGUAGUCCUGGCCCUAAACGAUGAAUGCUUGGUGUGGCGGGUAUCGAUCCCUGCCGUGCCGAAGCUAACGCAUUAAGCAUUCCGCCUGGGGAGUACGGUCGCAAGGCUG